AGCUAUGAUCACACCACUGCACUCCAGCCUGGGUGUCAGAGCAAGACUCUGGUUUGUUUGUUUGUUUAUUUGUUUGUUAAAGCUAUUCUGUAGGGCAGAGGGCACUAUUCCAGAGUCUGAUGCAAGAGAAGAUAAGGAAGACAAGAUCUCAACCACUUUCAGCAAAGCUUUGCGGAGAAUGCAACAUCCUUCAAGACACCAUGAAGCUCCACGCAUCUGGUCAUCUUGUUUCUUCAGGGAAUAAAUUUAUUGUUCUCUGCUUCAGGGCAGGCACACUUGGCCAGUAAAGAAAAUCCCCCCAGCAGAGAAUUGCAGAUACUCACAGCAAGAAGCCUUUCUUGUGAAUGGAGGAUGGAUGUGGAGCUGGUCCGAGCAGUCUGCCUACUGCAUCUGCUAUGACACCCAGCAAACUGGAAGGGAAAAGCAGUUACAAAGUUUCCAACCAGCACAAAUUCCAUAGUCAGGUUUUCCACAUGUGGGGAAAUGACAGGGGUCAGCACAUCCAACGUGCAAUGGACAAGCCUUGCACUGGGUAAACCACGUUCAUGGUCAUGGAAUCUCAUUUACCAGAAAGACCAUCUGGAAAAAAUCUCCAGGGCCACACCUCUGAUGUCUUCUUUGCAAUAGGCAGCUUGACUGCAGCGUUGCAUUGCAGAAAGAGAUUGAAGAUAUUUACAUUUAUUGUA
ensembl:lncRNA novel transcript